UGUCUUUAGGUCUUGAGUAUUUAUGGGUGCUUGUAGUCCCGAGCCCCCAUGGCCACAGAGAGUCAACUGUUUCUUUCUAUAGGAAAGAUAAAUGUGUUUCUCCUGCUCCUAGUUUUGGCUGUUUGGGUUCAUUAGUGCUACAUUAUAGUGAAUUUGCUUUGGAUUUAUGUUACCUUGUGCCUCCGCCAUCAGGAGUAUUCAUUCUACAAUUUGAGAACCUUGGAUAUAAACAGAACCAAAGACAACAGAACAAAGUGACACGACACCAACGACGCGAACCCAAAAGGCAGCGACAGACAGAAUGUCCCGUUGGCUUCCCUAUUGGCAUGGAUUUCUCCUGGACGCGGUGGAGGAUUCGUCCCAGAUAAAUCCUGCUGAAUCUGUCAUCGACUCACCGUUAAACUUUCUCCCUCGCAGCCUCCACAUCCGCACCACAACACGAGCUCCAUGUUCCCAGCAGCACGUUCCCACCGGUGCACUUCCACGCCGUCAGAGCUGGUUUCAAGCGUUCACGUAGUGGCCACAGUUCCUGCAAAAGCACUCGUUACGUCGAGUUGUUUUCAAGCGAGGCGUUUGGCUCUUCCUCUCCGAGGCGCUGGAAGCCCGGAUCGGGCCUUUAGCUCAGUCACUCUGCUGGAGAGUCCAGGAAGCCACCGGGGAAAGUUAAAAUCAAGUGGUGAUGAAGGUCUACUUACAGGAUUAUCGAGACUUCAUCGCUGAAGAUCUGCAGCUGCCACUCUGUUUCAGCACUUCUGCGACUGGAGCCUGCAGAACCGCUGCUUGACCUGCCACAGCCACUGAGGACAAUCAGCAGGUCUCUACGCACUCCAAGACCCUCCAUUUGGUGCUUGCCAGGUUAAACAAAACACAUUGCAAUGUAUCAUCAUCAUGACCUUCUGUUUAAUACUUUAAGUGCAAAAAGUGAGAAUAAAAAAUAAAAAAAAAUUUGCAAAAGAAGCAACAUUUAUUCUAAAUUCAGGCGAGCCACUGAGCUGUUUCAACAUUUCGAAUAUAUUUGUACUAAGAUAUUUCAAAACAGGGAAAUGAGGUAAGAUUGAUUUUACAAUAAAG